rnacentral:tRNA from 1 species
GCCAGGAUAGUUUAACAAAACAUUAGGCCGUGACCCUAAAAAUAGAGACUUCUCUUCCUAGCC